rnacentral:rRNA from 1 species
GACGAACGCUGGCGGCGUGCUUAACACAUGCAAGUCGAACGGUAAGGCCCUUCGGGGUACACGAGUGGCGAACGGGUGAGUAACACGUGGGUGAUCUGCCCUGCACUUCGGGAUAAGCCUGGGAAACUGGGUCUAAUACCGGAUAGGACUCCGGACUGCAUGGUCUGGGGUGGAAAGCUUUUGCGGUGUGGGAUGGGCCCGCGGCCUAGUAGCUUGUUGGUGGGGUGAUGGCCUACCAAGGCGACGACGGGUAGCCGGCCUGAGAGGGUGACCGGCAACACUGGGACUGAGAUACGGCCCAGACUCCUACGGGAGGCAGCAGUGGGGGAUAUUGCACAAUGGGCGCAAGCCUGAUGCAGCGACGCCGCGUGAGGGAUGACGGCCUUCGGGUUGUAAACCUCUUUCAGCACCGACGAAGCGCAAGUGACGGUAGGUGCAGAAGAAGGACCGGCCAACUACGUGCCAGCCGCCGCGGUAA